rnacentral:rRNA from 1 species
CCAUGGGGGAACCCUGAUGCAGCGACGCCGCGUGGAGGAAGAAGGUCUUCCCNAUUGUAAACUCCUGUUGUUGAGGAAGAUAAUGACGGUACUCNACAAGGAAGUGACGGCUAACUACGUGCCAGCAGCCGCGGUAAAACGUAGGUCACAAGCGUUGUCCGGAAUUACUGGGUGUAAAGGGAGCGCAGGCGGGAAGACAAGUUGGAAGUGAAAUCUAUGGGCUCAACCCAUAAACUGCUUUCAAAACUGUUUUUCUUGAGUAGUGCAGAGGUAGGCGGAAUUCCCGGUGUAGCGGUGGAAUGCGUAGAUAUCGGGAGGAACACCAGUGGCGAAGGCGGCCUACUGGGCACCAACUGACGCUGAGGCUCGAAAGUGUGGGUAGCAAACAGGAUUAGAUACCCUGGUAGUCCAAGGGCGAAUUC